rnacentral:rRNA from 1 species
GAUGAACGCUGGCGGCGUGCUUAACACAUGCAAGUCGAACGAUGAAGCCCAGCUUGCUGGGUGGAUUAGUGGCGAACGGGUGAGUAACACGUGAGUAACCUGCCCUUAACUCUGGGAUAAGCCUGGGAAACGGGGUCUAAUACCGGAUAGGGGCGUCCACCGCAUGGGGGGUGUUGGAAAGUUUUUCGGGUUUGGAAGGACCCCGGGGCCUAUCAGUUUUUGGGUGGGGUAUUGGCCCCCAAAGGCGCGGACGGGUACCCGCCCGGGGGGGGGGCCGGCCCACCUGGGACUGAGACACCGCCCAGACUCCUACGGGAGGCAGCCGUGGGGAAUAUUGCCCAAUGGGCGGAAGCCUGAUGCAGCGACGCCGCGUGGGGGAUGACGGCCUUCGGGUUGUAAACCUCUUUCAGUAGGGAAGAAGCGAAAGUGACGGUACCUGCAGAAGAAGCACCGGCUAACUACGUG